ACUCCUACGGGAGGCAGCAGUGGGGAAUCUUGGGCAAUGGGCGCAAGCCUGACCCAGCAACCCCGCAUGAGGGAUGAAGGCCCUCGGGUCGUAAACCUCUGUCGGGAGAGAAGAACGGGCCGCAGUCGAAUAGGCUGCGGUUUUGACGGUACCUCCAAAGGAAGCGCCGGCUAACUCCGUGCCAGCAGCCGCGGUAAU
rnacentral:rRNA from 1 species